GGUCAUGAGUGACAGCGCUAAGCCCCGGCUGGCUGUCCGGCAACCCAACUCCGCGUGGGGGUGCCCCGGGUGAAGACCGGGUUCGGCGUCAAUACCGGCGCCGCGACAAGCGCGGGCC
rnacentral:ncRNA from 2 species